rnacentral:lncRNA from 1 species
GUGACUUUUAUAUUUAUUGUUCAGCGCUUAUAUCACUGGCACGAGUUCUUAAAAAUAUUUAUGAUGUGAGGAUUCUUAAAGUCAUUUAAAUAAUUAUCAGCGGACGCAAGUCGUCUUGAGUCUUCUUGACAGAUUUAAUAUACAGUAAAAGCCCAACAUUUGACAAUUUAUCGAGGAGCUGGGUAUGCUAUGUUGUGCACAUUACCGCAACGGAUUUAGAUUUUCCACAAUUUUAAAUUAUCUUCUGGUCGAUCGGAACAUCGAUCACGCUCUGAGUAGCAAGCACCUCAAGUGGCCCAUAAAUCAAGCACUCUAGCCGAUAUCAAAGGAAUGCACUGUCCCGAUGAAUUCAUCGGAUUAGGCUCUCUAAUUCGAGUAAUUAACCACUCAUCUAAUCAUCAUUGUGAGUUCGUAGCAAUAGUCUCCCAUCGUACUGCCCACAAUCAGCCAGAACGUCUAGCUCGUCUCCCAUUAAUCAGCCGGCGUGCUGUCCCACACGCAGAGAAUAAAU